GACACUGGCCCUCAGAAGGCCAUGGGCUCACCAAGGGCUGCCAGUUCGCAGAAGUCCCUCACCUUUGUUCCACACCUGCUGACUUUCUAAACUGCUGUCCUCUGGACUGUGCUAGGUACACAUGACAGCACCUUGGCAGCCAUGUCUUUCAGAGCCCCAUUAUGCAAUGCCACGGCCCUAGAAGCAGAAGGAACCAUCAAAGAACCAGGCUAAAGGACUUUGGGACCAACAGGCAUUCAGGAAUGCGCCUGGCCAGGAGCUAAGGGGCCACCAGCUGACAAGAGUUGCCACCAGACACGCCAGGUAGAAGAUGUCAGCUGGCAAUGGCCAUGCCAGCCUAAGCUACCUCUGUGGAGUGAACAAUGUAGCCCAGAAGAGCCAGCACAGAUCCCUCCCACCUAUCAGCCCUGUCUUCCCCCAUCUUGAUGCAUGUCCCAGUAUGAUUCUCAGUGGCCAUUGGAAUAUUGCAGUUGCAAGCAAAGGUGACUUCAGCUGGGGGAUUUGUCACACGCGUCCAUGUGAAGAGACCACCAAACAGGCUUUAUCAAAAUCUUUCAAAAGAAGUGUCUGUCCUCAUGAUCUCCAAUUCCCCUCUUCCUGCACUCUCUGGAACCUACUCCAGUCUGUUCCACGCUGUCACCAGGGUGAGCAAUGACGUGGGAAGGUUGAACCUGCGGUCAGCUCCGAGCGCGCAUCCUCCUUGACCCGCCCGCCAUGACUGGCACAGGCCACUUAAUGACUGAGCCAAAUCCAGAGAGGUUUCUCCAGGAAACAAGAUGGACUCGUGGAUUCUGGCUGAUCUUGGAUAUUGACACAUUAUUCAAAGCUCUACUGGUUUGAGGUCAUCAUAUUACUAACAAAAGUGGCAGGCACAAAAUUUACUAACCCUACCAAAGCUGCUUGCAUAGCUCAUGACCACUGGGCACCAUCAACAAUGAAAUCCGCAAUAGGGCCAUGUUUUCAAUUUCUAUGAGAGCCGGAACUAAAGAACACAGGCCAUGGACAAAACACCCAACUGCAGUAAACACAAUUUCUAAAAUAUUGGAGUACCUUAAAGAACCACUUCACAGCCAUAGCCCCAAGCACCGAACACCUGAGGACUCCAUGUAUUUAUGAUUUAGGCCCAAAUUUUCUGUUGCAAUACAGAUAGGGGUAAUGCUUGGUCCCUAAGAGAAAUAUAAAAUGAAACCAGUGGGAUUUUGUGUGGAUCAAGGUAGAAAACAACUGGCUUAUUGUGAAAAAGAGCAGGAUGCCAGGCCUUCCUUGUGAACUUAGAAUUGAAGGUAAAGGUGCUUCCAUCAGCAAGCAAUGCUGACCAGAGCUCAGGGAGGGUGUGGCUGUGCUUGUCCGGAACAGUAGGCAUGGGGUCCAUAAACAAGGGCUCCACCCCUCCCAGCCUGAGUGCUCUCAAAGCCAAGGGCCAGCAACAGAUUGGUUUUGCUAACCAUGCAGACAUCCCCUUGGUAAUAUAAAUAUGCCCUAUCAAAUUAUGGAGGGAUGUUGCACACAAAUCCUGCACAGAAGUUGGCCGAAGGACCAAAGCUGCCACAUCUUUUUGCCAUGACAGAUGGAGCUACCCAAAGCUGUUUCUGAAAAUUCUGUCCCAUAAGCCCUAUGGCAAAUUCAUGGGAAUGAGCUAUCCAGGAAAAAGGCAGACUUCUUACCGAGAAAUAUUCAAAUCAUCCCCCAAACCAAGGAUGGAGGAGUAAAGACUCCCUAGCCCUUCUGUUCAGGAAGACUCCUCGAGAAACUGUUGCACUGUCUCUUUGCCCAACGCAUGUCCCCCCACCACACCAUCCCCUCAUCUCUCUGCCCCUCCAAGGCUGAUCCCCCACCAAGACCCCGGCAGAGAGGACUGCUUGUCAGGAUGGGUGUCUGUCACCACAGUGCUUCUCCCAGGGGCAGUGAGUGAUGCUGGCAGCUAUGAAGCCCUGGCUGGAUCCCAGAUAGGUAACACAGGCAUCAGGAGCAGGUGUGGACGUGCAGACUGGAACUGCCAUCUUCUGAGCCCUGGAGAAGACAUCUGAGCUCUGGAGAGGACAUCGUUGUGAUUCAUGCAGCCCUCGGUGUCCACAGAGGGCAGAGCCUCCUGUCAGCUUCAGUGACCUCCUCUGACCCCUGGGUCUGGGCCUGGACCCUCUGCUGAAGGGCCACACACAGUGAGCCUGUCCCUGAGAUGGAAACAGAGGGGACACAUGUGGCUAACAAAAUGUUCUGCAUUCUUUUGAGUAGAUGGAUGAGAACAUAGAGAAACUGGAGAAGGAAAGAAGGAAGGAAGGAAGGAAGGAAGGAAGUGAGGGAGGGAAGGGAAGUUAGGGAGGGAGGGAGGGAGGAAGGGAGGGAGGGAGGGAAUACAAGAAUUAAUGGACGGACUAAUGAGCACACAAACCAACUGGUGGGAACCAUACAGGAACUCCCUCAAAUCAACCAGGGAGUUUGAUUUAUUUAAUACUCUGCACCUGCAACCAAAGUAAUAAUGAUGAUAAUAAA